rnacentral:lncRNA from 1 species
ACAGGCAGCUAGCCUCCCCUGGGGCAGGCAGGGACCAGAAGAGCCCCAGAGGGUCUUGUAGAACAGAGGCGGAGGAGGAGAGGACAGAAAGGACAGGGAGACAACCAAGGAGGCCCUGAAGAGACUGAAUGGGAGAGUGUGACUGCUCCCUGCAAAUCCUCCCCAUGUCUGGACUGAGGAAAUAGCUCGAAGCACCAUCCGUCUCCUGGUGGAGCAGCAGCAGCGUCCAGAGGCUGGGGGCUGAGGCUCCUUGUUUCCAACAAGCUCCUAGGUGAUGGAUGCUGCUGGCAGGUGCACCACACUGAGUUGCAAGACUCGUCCCUCCAGGCACCCCCUUCACAGGUUCAGCAUCCUCGCUGCCAUCUCCUCACAAAUGCGGGAAGGGAGCCACCACCCCAGGCUGGGCUAACUCGCAUGAGGACACCACUAACAUUGUCUGCGUUCCAUUUACGUUAGACAGGCAGGUCUACAAUGUUUGAAGUUUACAGAUUUCUUGGAUAUAGCAGUGAAAGGUUUGUAUUUUUUAUCUGUAAGGAAAAAUUGUGAAGUUUACAUCAUUGCAAAAUAAACAGAACUGUGACUUCUGUUUCACAA